GGAGAGGUGCCGGAGUGGUCGAACGGGCCGGUUUCGAAAACCGGUGACGGAUUAAUUUUCGUCCGCGGGUUCGAAUCCCGCCCUCUCCG
rnacentral:tRNA from 1 species